rnacentral:lncRNA from 1 species
GGACCAACGUGAUGUUUACAUCCCCAGGUAGCUAACCAGUAGCCACAUUGCAACAUGGGUAAGAAAGCUUGCUAGCGAAUUCAGCCUAAUGCCAUUUCAACGUGUUUUUGAUGAUCUCAUUUAUGUAAUGAUUUGCAAGUGGAUUUCUGUAAUGGUCGACUCAAUAAUUUCAGAUAGAAAUCUUUUUCGGAUGUGAUGUCAUUCCUUCGGAUUUCAUCUCACUCAUUUUUUUUUUGUGCUUUUAUUUAACUAGGCAAGUCAGAACAAAUUCUUAUUUACAAUGACGGCCUACAAAAGAGACAACACAACACUACAUAAAGAGAGAUCUAAGACAACAACAUAGCAUAGCAGCAACACAUGACAACACACAACAUAGCAUGGCAGCGACACAACAUGGUACAGACAUUUUUGACACAGACAACAGCACAACGGGCAAGAAAGUAGAGACGACAAUACAUCACGCGAAGCAGCCACAACUGUUAGUAAGAGUGUCCAUGGUUGAGUCUUCGAAUGAAGAGAUUGAGAUAAAACUGUCCAGUUUGAGUAUUUGUUGCAGCUCGUUCCAGUCGCUAGCUGCAGCGAACUGAAAAGAGGAGCGACCCAGGGAUGUGUGUGCUUUGGGGACCUUUAACAGAAUGUGACUGGCAGAACGGGUAUUGUAUGUGGAGGAUGAGGCCUGUAGUAGGUAUCUCCGAUAGGAGGGAGUGAGGUCUAAGUUUUUAUUUUAUUUUUUAUAAAUAAGCAUCAAUCAGUGGGUCUUGCGACGGGUAUACAGAGAUGAUCAGUUUACAGAGGAGUAUAGAGUGCAGUGAUGUGUCCUAUAAGGAGCAUUGGUGGGAAAUCGGAUGGCGAAUGGUAAAGAACAACAACUAAUGUCACACAUUGCAUGCAUCCUAGCAACCGUACUGGUUUGCUAUAUUAGGCAGCUCUAGGUGCGAGGGGAAAACAAAUAUAUUUAUAUUAUCUAUAAAGAUUAUAAAAAGGACAUUAGGUAGUUGGCUAGCUUAAACGCAAUAGGAUCAGGGUCAGGCUGUAUGGUCUGGUAUUGUCUCUGUUUCAGUGCAGCACAAGCCUGUUGGAUGAGCCUAGCUAAAUUGAAACUGCUCAGGAAGAGUUAACUUCCACCAUUAGCUUAGGUCAUCAAUGUAGCUACCUAAUGAUUUUAGAAAAUAAAAACAAUAUGUGCUACCUACAGUUUAAUGACCUGCUACUGACUAUUGAAAACUUUUUGCCAAACAAGUUUGUAACUGUUUAUUGAUGAAUUGGUAACUGAAAAAGUAGCAGAGGCUGUUGUUUUGGUGCAAUUUGGCUAAUAAAGAAUAGGCUUGUAUAUGUACACAUUAAUGUGUCAUUAGUUAGCUAAGUUACUGACUAAGUAGGUACAUUGUUAUUCAUGUUUUUCACUCAAGAUCACUAGAAAGGAGCAUGCUGUUGUUUCUCAGCAGAGGUAUUACAGUCAAUGCUUAUGAACUGAAUAUUGUGUUUGAAUUGCACAUUUACUUCAUUGGCACUAAGAAAAGGGUUGUUCAGCAACAUGAGCAGUAAAUGCUAACACGGCUUUGGUGAUGAAAGGUAUGUCAUGGAGGUGACUAUGUAUCUAUUAGAAGCUUCCCCAAUACAUUGCAUUAUAUGCCCAGAACCUAAUUCACCUGGUACGGGUGAAUAUAAGGUGCGCACCUCUUUUUCCCCUGGUAAUUCUUCCUGUUGAUCAUAGGAGUAAUUCAUUGACGGGUCACUGAAUGGGACCUGGGAGUUGUUUGCACCUGUGCUUUAUUUAAGGUGAAUGCCAGAAGCAGCACGCGACCGACGUGAGCUGGGAGCAGCGAGGCUGCAGAGCCGGAGGCGACUGAGGAGGACGCGUGCUGUUGCUGGAGCAGACGGGGACCAGUGUUGAAACGGAACGAGAAGGCCUUUAUGGGAAUUGGGAGGGUCAACGCUUCACCCUUUCCAAAAAUGAAGUACCUCUCCAUAUUCCAUUUCCAACAUUUCACCUGCUAGCACUGCCUGCCGACAUUCUCUACUGCUUUGUGUGCUACGCACAGCCAGUACAGUAGUGCACCUACUGUGAACCAGAGAGGAGGCCUUUUGGGAUACUGGAAAGGUGAAGCACAAUUCAGGUCGAAUUCAUUAUGGAUUAUAGUGACUUUUCUGCCUUUUGGAAUAACCAAUCAAUUGAAAACAUCAGUCUCUAAGUAUGUGUUUUCAGGCAAAAUUGCAUUGUUCAUAUUGGCUUAACAUUUUGUAUGUUGAGCAAGGCCAUUAACAGCACAACACGCUCUCCAUCCAGAGGCGCUGCACUGCAGCUUGACCCUGUGCUCGCCUCAACUGUAAGUGAUGUGCCGUUAUGACUUACUAACUCUGACAUGGGGUGAUCCAUGUUCCUGCUGGUAGCAGGCCUUAACCUGGAUGCGAGGAAAUGCCCUCCCUUGGCGUAUGGUUGCAUCUAUCUCCACUCCUUUUAAAUCAAAUGACAAACCUGCAUGGAUUAGCAAAAGAAAAUUGGAGCUGUAUUUAGACAGUUGUAGUCAUGAAAGCCGCAGUUUUUUUAAACAGGAGUGUACAGGUUUUUGUUCCAGCACUCUCCGAACACUUCACUCAACUAAUUUUGGUCUAAAUUUAAGACCAUGAUUAGUUUAAUGAGAUGUUUGCGCUAGGCAGGAAUAAAAACGUGCACACAGUUCAGUCCCAUGGGAGUAGGAUUGCAAAAAUCCAGUCACUUUCCUAAAAUCCCCAGGUUUUCUGGAAAACCAGGGAAUUUUGGGGAAAGUUACCAGAUUUUUACAACUACCUGGGACAGAAAUCACCCACGUCUGUAUUAUAGAAUGAGCUCCCUAAGUAACAAUGAGAUGACAAUUCUGCAUGAUAUGGACAACGUGUGGAUCUACAGGUAAUUGCCCAAAUAAAAACACCAACAUAAAGUGUCUUAAUAGGGUCACCAUAUGCCACAACAGCUUCAAAGAUGCAUAUAUUUCGAUAAGUGUCGACAAGAACUCUAUUGGAGGGAUGCGACACCAUUAUUCCACGAGAAAUUCCAUCCUUUUAUGUUUUGUUGAUGGUGGUGGAAAAUGUCUCCGGCGCCGCUCUAGAAUCUCCCAUAAGUGUUCAAUUUGGUUGAGAUCUGGUGAUAGACUGCCAUGGCAUAUGGUUUACUUUGUUUUCAUGCUCAUCAAACCAUUUAGGCACUCUUGCCCUGCGGAUGGGGGCAUUGUCAUCCUAUGGGGGGCAUAGCCAUGGUAGCCAAAAUAAUGUCCUGCCCAGCAUUUUUGUACAUGACCAUAAGCAUGCUGGGAUGUUAAUUGCUUCAUUAACUCAGGAACCACACCUGUGUAGUAGUCCUGCUUUCAAUAUACUUUGUUUCCCUCAUUUACCCAAGUGUUUCCAUUAUUUUGGCAUGUGUGGGUAUGGGUGUCAGUGCGCAGACCCGCGAGCCAUUGCGACUCCUCAUGAGUUCAGAUUUUGUGUGGCCCCCACUCCCAUCAAAGUUGCCCAUCCUUUAUCUAGUUGAAUAUGAAUGGGUUCUGACGUCCAGACAUGGCCUGUCCUCUUCUAUGACGGCAGAGCCCUGCAGACAGCCACGGUGACUUGGGAACCAAAUUAAUGGGGAAACCACAGACCAAAUGGCCAGAGUCAGUCUCCAUUUACCUCUGAUCCAGCUUGCUGCACAGGAUGGGAUUUUAAUGGCUGUGAAUGCCAAGUCACAGAAGGAUCAGAGAGCAUUAAAGCUGCAUGGGCAGGUCAGACUGAGGGAAGGAGCGCCAUGCGGUACGAUUCAGUAAGCUGGCAGAGCAGGAGCCUUUGAUGUGAUGGAAAUGGAGAGCAGCUCUCGGACUCUCAAUGUUGAGGCCAUUGUGUCCAAAUUCAAACAGAACAGGGUCCAUCUUCUAAUUAGAGUCCAACCAAUCUGUAAAGACACCUGCCUGAUCUGAUGAGGGCUUAGAUGUUCCUCUCUCUAUGUUAACAACAUGCUCAAAGCCAUGCCAUGGGAAACAACCAGCAUUACAUGCUUUCACCUACCAUUAACAUUCCAUGUAUCAGAACAACAAGACCCUACUGUAUUUAUCCCACAGAAAAGGUUCAAAGUAAUUCUAGGUGACUACAUGCCAUUGUCCUCUGAUAAAGUUACAGCAGGAUCAUAGCAAAAGAGAAAGCUGCAAGCCUAAAGAAUUAAUUGUAUUAUUGCAACCUCAUUUAUACUGUAAUUCUAGUCACGUUUUGAGAGGUUGGUUUGGCAAUAUCACUCUUGAUUGAAAUGGCUACGGCUCCAUUUUACAAUAAAGACGCCAGAUGCCUUUUCCAAUGUCCCUGGGGUGACCACUCCUUGUUGACUGCAUGGGCUUAUAAUGAAGAGAGAAAAAAUAAAGUCUUUACAUUCA